AAAAAUCGAAAAGAAACCUCUACAUUGUGCAAAGAAAGCUCUUCCUGCUGCUAAGAGUAGAAGGAGGUAAUGGAGAAAGUAUUUACAUUCUUUUUGUAAAGAGGAUGAAUUUUUUUUGUAAAUUGUUAAUUUUUGUAAAUUGAAAGAGUGGUAAUUUCUUUGGGAAACAGAAUAUGUGGUACAAAAUCAGUAUCACUCUUUGCAGGUUGGAUCGUGAAUGGUACCCCUAGAAUUGUUCGUGGUACAGCCUGUGAAACCCCAUCCAGCCGCACUGGGAAGAAGGCUUAAAGCAGUAA
rnacentral:lncRNA from 1 species